UACGUAGGUGGCAAGCGUUGUCCGGAUUUACUGGGCGUAAAGAGCGCGCAGGCGGUCGUCCAAGUCGCGUGUGAAAGCCCCCCGGCUCAACUGGGGAGGGUCACGCGAUACUGGUCGACUCGAAGGCAGGAGAGGGUAGUGGAAUUCCCGGUGUAGUGGUGAAAUGCGUAGAUAUCGGGAGGAACACCAGUGGCGAAGGCGGACUACCUGGCCUGUUCUUGAUGCUGAGGCGCGAAAGCUAGGGGAGCAAACGGG
rnacentral:rRNA from 1 species